UUGAGCAAGAUGGAGAAGCAGGGCACGUGCAUUACUAACUCAUGCAUGUUAAUGGCUUUUGCCUAGCCGCAUAAGUUCUAGCUUCAUGAAUUUGGCUCCAUGAGUUUGUAUUUCAUGUGCCCCUCUUCCCCAUCAUGACCAC
rnacentral:pre_miRNA from 1 species